UACAGAGGGUGCAAGCGUUAAUCGGAAUUACUGGGCGUAAAGCGUGCGUAGACGGUUGCGUAAGUCAGAUGUGAAAGCCCCGGGCUCAACCUGGGAAUGGCGUUUGAAACUACGGAGCUGGAGUGUGGCAGAGGGAGGUAGAAUUCCACGUGUAGCGGUGAAAUGCGUAGAUAUGUGGAGGAAUACCGAUGGCGAAGGCAGCCUCCUGGGCCAACACUGACGCUCAUGCACGAAAGCGUGGGGAGCAAACAGG
rnacentral:rRNA from 1 species